CCCACUAGGUAGUAUUAUUAUCUCUAUCUGAUAGGGGGGCAACCUGAGGUCCAGAGAGGUUAAGAAACUUGUCCAGGGUCACAUGGCUAAUAAAUGGCAGAGUCAGGGGACAAAGCAGAGCUCUCCUGCUCCCAAACUUCUUGUGGAACCACUGCACCCAUCCUGUCAUAAUGACCCCCGUACUCUCUGUCCAGCCUCCUGCCCACCAGGACUCCCCCAUCCUCGCUUUGUGGGGACUCACACACUUGCUGGCUGACCCCCAAGGCUGGUCUGGCACAGUCUUGGCCUGGAAGCAGGGUGAGCCAGGCAGGAGGCUUCUCCUCCUCCCGGGACCCCGGCUUCUCCUCUCCGAAGAUCCCCCUGGUGCCUCAGGCUGUGUAGACACCUGCUGAUUUGAUGAGACUUUUGCCGAGACAGCACCGAGGGCCGUGGCCGCCUCCGACAACCCAGCCGCCGACACGCGGAAUGUCCCUCCCUUUUGGAAAUCGUGGUAGGGAGCUGGCUAGUCCCUGUGUCAGCGGAGCUGCGGACGACUUUCCAGAUUUUUCCAGCAACUCCUUGCUACAGAUCGUCCUGUGCGCAGAGGCUGUGUGUACGUGUGUGCAAGUGCGCCUGCUCAGGAGGAGAAGAUUGAAUCGGACAGCUUUGAGACAGAGCUGGAAUAGUAGGCACCCAGGCAGCCUGUGGACACACAUUAUGGAUACCCACUCUGGGCCUGGCCUCUCCCUUGCCUGGCUCAGACUCCACUCCAGACCAACACACAAACAGGAAGAAGAGACAGCAUAAUCAGGGCCUGAAAAAUGGUACAAACCAGGACGCACAAGUAAUUAAGAAAAGGAAGUGACACGAAAACAACAGCAUGAAAGUACUAGAAAAAAAAAACAGGUAGGAAUAAUUUUAUAUAAUCUGACAUUUUAAUAGAUAUGAUAACUUAAAAUAUCAAUACAUUCAAGGAUCCUUUAAAAAUGGUGAAAAAACUCAUUGGUAAGCCAAAAAUGAACUGUGUGAAAGUCCUUGCAACUUACCUUACUG
rnacentral:lncRNA from 1 species